rnacentral:rRNA from 1 species
GGAGUCUGGACCGUGUCUCAGUUCCAGUGUGGGGGACCUUCCUCUCAGAACCCCUAAGGAUCGAUGGCUCGGUGGGCCGUUACCCCGCCGACUACCUAAUCCUACGCAUCCCCAUCCCUCGGCGAUGAAUCUUUCGUCCAACUUAGAUGCCUGCAUCGGACAACAUAGGGAAUUAAUCCGACUUUCGCCGGGCUGUGCCCUACUACGGGGAAGGUUGGAUACGCGUUACUCACCCGUGCGCCGGUCGCCAUCACAGAUAGCAAGCUACCUGCAUGCUGCCCCUCGACUUGCAUGUGUUAAGCCUGUAGCUAGCGUUCAUC